rnacentral:rRNA from 1 species
UACGGAGGGUGCGAGCGUUGUCCGGAAUCACUGGGCGUAAAGGGCGCGUAGGCGGCUCAUGAAGGCUGUGGUGAAAGUCCGGGGCUCAACCUCGGAUCGGCCGUGGCGACUCGUGGGCUGGAGCACUGUAGAGGCGGGUGGAAUUCCGGGUGUAGCGGUGGAAUGCGUAGAGAUCCGGAAGAACACCGGUGGCGAAGGCGGCCUGCUGGGCAGUUGCUGACACUGAGGCGCGACAGCGUGGGGAGCAAACAGG